ensembl:lncRNA
AUGAUUCCAUUUCUCACUGAUUCAUGAAAACAACUAAAAUGCUGUAUUAUUCAGGCCUGGCCAGUAGUUGGCGAUGUCACUUUGUGAAGAAACACUAUGCAUGCUCAUGACAUGUCAAAUUUGCAUUUUGUAGUUUACAAGGAUAAACAUUCACAAGGAUUUUAAAAACGUGCACCUUGAAACCCCUUCUCAAACAUUUGUUUUCAGGCUCCCAAAUCGCUGUUUUUGUGUAAACGAGUAGUUGGCCAAAAAUAGUAAUGAGUGCAAGGUUUCUCACCGACGUCGGAUCGCAUCAUUUCCACAAUGGCGAAGUACACGGAGAUGUUGUUGAAGCUUCUGGUACAUUCCUCACACACUUGGCCCGUCCGCAUCGUCAUCCCUUUUUUGUUUUUUCUUUCCACUCUCCCAUUCCCUCCUGUCUCACUGUGGAUGGUUUUUGAGAAGCACUUUGUGUCCCAUACCUGUGGUUUUGUGGUGUUCUGCUGUAUCGUCUAGUAAUGAGUUAAGUUUAGACAGCUGAUUCUUUUUCACGUUAAAAUGUUUUCUAUUUUCUUCUCCUUUUCUGGAAUCAUACUGUGUUUUUUUCCCCUCUGGCACAUGUCUGGGAUCUUAUAUUGGAUGCAUGAUGCAAUAAAUACACAGAGGAUGAAGAGAAUCA